CGCGGGGUAAACAUGAUAAAGACAUUGAAAGGAUAGUGAAUGCUGGAAAACGUGUGAAUGGGGCACUUAACGCUUUUAUGAGCAGCCAGAAGGUGUCGCAAAAAGCACGGUUGGCUGUUCAAAGAGGGGUGUUGGUGCCUACACUUAUGUAUGGUAGCGAAAGUUGGGUAUGGCAGAAGAGGCAUCAGAGCCAAGUGAAUGCAGUGGAAAUGAGAGCGCUGAGAAGUGUGUGUGGUGUGAGAUUGCAAGAUAGAAUUAGGAACAGUGUGAUAAGGGAAAAGUGUGGACUGAAUGUUGAUGUAGUGACUAAAAUUGAGAAAGGUAUGUUGAGAUGGUUUGGACACGUGGAAAGAAUGAGUGAAAGAAGGCUAACAAAGAGAGAGUAUAAGGGGGAAGUGGAAGUGGAGGUUGGAAGGGGUAGACCUCGGCGGACUUUCUCUGAUCAGAUCGGGGAAAUCCUGAAGAAAGGCCAGCUCAAGAGCACCCUAAACCGGCGAGCGUGUAUGAGGAAUGUUAUGAAAGUGAAGGGAGCGAAAGAGGUAUGUCAGGAUCGUAGCAAGUGAAAAUCCGUGGUCUCUGCCUA